rnacentral:tRNA from 1 species
GCGGGUGUAGGUUAGUGGUAAAACUACAGCCUUCCAAGCUGUUGUCGCGAGUUCGAUUCUCGUCACCCGCU